AACAGGAUUAGAUACCCUGGUAGUCCACGCCGUAAACGAUGUCGACUUGGAGGUUGUGCCCUUGAGGCGUGGCUUCCGGAGCUAACGCGUUAAGUCGACCGCCUGGGGAGUACGGCCGCAAGGUUAAAACUCAAAUGAAUUGACGGGGGCCCGCACAAGCGGUGGAGCAUGUGGUUUAAUUCGAUGCAACGCGAAGAACCUUACCUGGUCUUGACAUCCACGGAAGUUUUCAGAGAUGAGAAUGUGCCUUCGGGAAC
rnacentral:rRNA from 1 species